CGUAGGUGAUAGGUCACUCUGGUGUAGCAAUGUUGCCUCUUCUCUUCGCGUCGAUUGUGUUCUCGCUGGCACAGACAAUGAUCUCACUGAGGAAGUACCACUCAUCGUGUCUCUUCAAUGCAGCGUUCAGCUUGGGAACGAGCUCUUCGUCUUUCGCAGUUGAUGGCAUGAUCUCUGUGUUCCAAAACAUCUUCACAGGAACAGUAUCUACUAGAUAUAUACACAGGCCAUUAGUACAUUUUCUUUAAAUAUACAAAAAAACAACUAAGGAAAAUAGAGGAGAGAUGCAGGUAAGCCAUACAUACAAUCUAUUGGUUUAUAUACUUAAGUAAAAUGUAAAAAAUGAAAAAAAUAACGUGUGCCACAAUAGUGCAGGAUCACUAUGUUUCUUUUGUUUCUAAUAUCUUAAAUCUCAAGAGUAGUCCUUGUGAAGUUUAAAACCAAAAUUAAAAGAGGAGAAUGAUACCGACUUUUUUUACUUUGUUCAAUUGGAUUAUCCAUGUUAAUUGACUUGGGA
rnacentral:lncRNA from 1 species